CAUCAUUUUCCAUUCAUAACAUUUUAUAUUAUUCAGAAAGACUAAAAUGUCCUCAUUGAGACAAUGAGUUAUCGUGUCUUCUUCUUCCUUAUUCUCAAUAGAUCUGAUUUUCUCAUCUCGCCGGAUCUCGUCAUCUCACCAGACUCUCGUGCUUCACCGGUCUCUUGUCGCACCAGUCUCUCGUAGCUUCGUCGAUCUCUCGUAACUUUACCGGUCUCUCGUCGCCUUGCAACGCCUCGCGUUUUGCUGUCGGUGAUGAUGUUGUAUUUGAUGGUACGAUAACGACCUCUGUUCAUCCAUCUCGUUAAUCUCCAUUUGAUCUUCUUAGGUUUAUGUCUCGAUUGAUUCAUUGUUUCAGUUUCAGAUUGAGUAUAUUUGGUUGUUUCGUUGUAUUUUUAAGUAUAUUGUUCAUAAAUUUAGAUUAGAUGAACGAUUAGGUUGUAACAACUCCAUUAUUUGAACAAUUAGGAUGAUUAGAUGAACGAUUAGAUUGUAACUCACUCAUUUGUGAUUGUCUAUUUUCGUACAACAAAUAGAGAAAUAGGUAAAAUUUCUAUUAACCUUGUGAACUAUCAAACCGAAUAAAAAAUUAAAGAACAUUAAAACUUCCGGAACCGGAUUUCUAAAUAUAGUUUUCAUGCAGAUCAAACUCGUCUGCUAUGCUUGCUGAGCAAUUGAUUAAAAUAUUUUAACCCUAUAAGAUAAAAUCUUCUGUAAUCCACAUUAGCAAAUAGUAUGUCUACAUCUGUUAUGCGUGAAUUCACGUUAUCCAAAAGUCUCAUUAUCUUAAAUUCUCGUCCCGUAUUUUAUGAGGAAUUGUUAAGAUAAUGACUUUUAUUUUUAGUAUUACUCAUUAUAUUCCCGUACCCGUAAUACUAUGUACUCAGUAAGCCUCUCCUCUUACUACAUCCCCCCCUGGUUUCAUGGAAAGAGACCAUACCAUUCACAUCAGCUUACUUACAGGAGAAGUAAGAUCUGAUGCUUCAGUCUUCAAAUGUCAAAGAGAUUCGUGGGAGCUUCUUCGGGAGUGACAGUGAAGGGGAAAGGCCAGCCGAGAGGACGCUGAGCUGCAAGUGGCUUGACUGGAUAAAGAGAUUGGUAAAGUUGGUUGGUAACUUGGCAAAGACGCAAGCGCAGCAUUACUGUUUGACAACAUAGUAUCAGUAGUAGUAACAGUCCUAAAAUCGAGACCGUCAUACAUAAUAAUAUAAUGUACUGAUUCGAUUAAUUCGUUUGAA
rnacentral:lncRNA from 1 species